rnacentral:rRNA from 1 species
CAGCAGCCGCGGGAAUACGGAGGAUCCGAGCGUUAUCCGGAAUUAUUGGGUUUAAAGGGUGCGUAGGCGGAUAGAUAAGUCAGUGGUGAAAGACGGUGGCUCAACCAUCGCAGUGCCGUUGAUACUGUUUAUCUUGAAUAUGGAUGAGGUAGGCGGAAUGUGGCAAGUAGCGGUGAAAUGCAUAGAUAUGCCACAGAACACCGAUUGCGAAGGCAGCUUACCAAGGCAAAAUUGACGCUGAGGCACGAAAGCGUGGGGAUCGAACAGGAUUAGAUACCCGGGUAGUCCCUGUCUCUUAUAA